rnacentral:piRNA from 1 species
AUAAGAAUAUGGUCAGCUACAAGU